UCAGUCUUUGCAGAGGCUUCAGC
rnacentral:misc_RNA from 1 species